AACGAACGCUGGCGGCAGGCCUAACACAUGCAAGUCGAGCGAAGCCUUCGGGCUUAGCGGCGGACGGGUGAGUAACGCGUGGGAACGUGCCCUUUGCUACGGAAUAGCCCCGGGAAACUGGGAGUAAUACCGUAUGUGCCCUUCGGGGGAAAGAUUUAUCGGCAAAGGAUCGGCCCGCGUUGGAUUAGGUAGUUGGUGGGGUAAUGGCCUACCAAGCCGACGAUCCAUAGCUGGUUUGAGAGGAUGAUCAGCCACACUGGGACUGAGACACGGCCCAGACUCCUACGGGAGGCAGCAGUGGGGAAUCUUAGACAAUGGGCGGAAGCCUGAUCUAGCCAUGCCGCGUGAUCGAUGAAGGCCUUAGGGUUGUAAAGAUCUUUCAGGUGGGAAGAUAAUGACUGUACCACCAGAAGAAGCCCCGGCUAACUCCGUGCCAGCCGCCGCCGUAA
rnacentral:rRNA from 1 species